rnacentral:lncRNA from 1 species
UGUUACGCUAAUCAUUUUUAAUGAAAGGUAAAGGACAUUUAUAACCUUUCGAUUAACUUUUUUAAAAAAAACAUAUGGUUGACUAAUCUAAACUUAAAACAUCAACUCUAAACCCUAAAUCAUCAACUCUAAACCAUAAACCAUGAAACAUCAACUCUAAAUCCUAAACCCCGAAACAUCAACUCUAAACCCUAAACCUUCAAAUCUAAACCCUAAAAAAUCAACUCUAAACCCUAAACGUAAACCCUAAACCCUAAAUCUAAACUUAAAACAUCAACUUUAAACCCUAAAUCAUCAACUCUAAACCCUAAACUAUGAAACAUCAACUCUAAACCCUAAACCCUAAACUCUAAACCUUCAAAUCUAAACCCUAAAACAUCAACUCUAAAUCCUAAACGUAAACCCUAAACCCUAGAUUUUUCUGAAAUUCGAACCC